rnacentral:lncRNA from 1 species
CGGCCGCCGCCGCCAUCCUGCACCCGGCGCGGUUGCACGUGAUACUGCAGCAAGCCGAGCGCGAGCUGGAGGGAGGGAGGAGGAGCUGGAGCCCGGAAUCCAGCCCCAGAAAACGUGUUAAUUCAUGAAGUGCCAGGUCCUGGGCUCAAUGUUGACACUCUCCUCACCACCCUGGAGCUUGGAUUCUGCUAGGAAGACAGGCAUGAAUGGAGACUGCUUACUCACGGAAUUAGGGAGCUAUUCAAAGUCCAUGGCGUGAUAUAUCUUCAAACCCGUCUGUGGAGGAGAGUCUAGAAAAUGAAGUCUCAAAAUGAGAUGUAGUGGAAACAAGUCUAUAAAUUUGGAGAACAAGAAAAAAAUAUUUUCUUCUGUCUUCUAUUUCUUUUUAUAGUACUCUUACAAGUGUGAAAUUAUAUUAGUAACAUUCCUAAUGACAAUCUGUCAACCUGCAUUCUCUGUACCAUGCCCACUAUCCUUAUAACCUUCAUAACAAUCGAGAAAACUAUUUGGUUUUGUGAUUCUGUGACAUACACUGCUAAUGAAUCUGCCUUGAGCCUACAAUUAAACUUAUUUUCACAUCUGUC